rnacentral:rRNA from 1 species
UACAGAGGGGGCAAGCGUUGUUCGGAAUUACGGGGCGGAAAGUGUGCGCAGGCGGCCGAGCAAGUCGAGUGUGAAAGCCCCGAGCUUAACUUGGGAACUGCGCUCGAAACUACUUGGCUAGAGUGUGGCAGGGGGAGGUGGAAUUCCACGUGUAGCGGUGAAAUGCGUAGAGAUGUGGAGGAACACCGAUGGCGAAGGCAGCCUCCUGGGCCAACACUGACGCUGAGGAGCGAAAGCGUGGGGAGCAAACAGG